rnacentral:rRNA from 1 species
GACGAACGCUGGCGGCGUGCUUAACACAUGCAAGUCGAACGGGUCUGCCCUGUUUUUUGCGGGGUGGGUCAGUGGCGAACGGGUGAGUAACACGUGAGUAACCUGCCCCUCACUUCUGGAUAACCGCUUGAAAGGGUGGCUAAUACGGGGUGUUCUGGCUGUGCCGCAUGGUGUGGCUGGGAAAGAUUCACUUUUGUGGUGUUUUGGUGGGGGAUGGGCUCGCGGCCUAUCGGCCUGUUGGUGGGGUGAUGGCCUGCCAAGGCUUUGACGGGUAGCCGGCCUGAGAGGGUGGGCGGUCACACUGGGACUGAGAUACGGCCCAGACUCCUGCGGGAGGCAGCAGUGGGGGGUAUUGCACAAUGGGCGGAAGCCUGAUGCAGCGACGUCGCGUGAGGGAUGGAGGCCUUCGGGUUGUGAACCUCUUUCGCCGGUGAAGAAGGUCCUGCUCUUUGUGGUGGGGUUGACGGUAGCCGGGUUAUGAAGCGCCGGCUAACUACGUG